rnacentral:rRNA from 1 species
UCAGGCCUAACACAUGCAAGUCGAGCGAGACCUUCGGGUCUAGCGGCGGACGGGUGAGUAACGCGUGGGAACGUGCCCUUUGGUUCGGAAUAGCCCCGGGAAACUGGGAGUAAUACCGGAUAAGCCCUACGGGGGAAAGAUUUAUCGCCAAAGGAUCGGCCCGCGUUGGAUUAGGUAGUUGGUGGGGUAAUGGCCUACCAAGCCGACGAUCCAUAGCUGGUUUGAGAGGAUGGUCAGCCACACUGGGACUGAGACACGGCCCAGAAUCCUACGGGAGGCAGCAGUGGGGAAUCUUAGGCAAUGGGGGAAACCCUGAUCUAGCCAUGCCGCGUGAGAGAUGAAGGCCUUAGGGUUGUAAAGCUCUUUCAGUGGGGAAGAUAAUG